rnacentral:rRNA from 1 species
GCAAGUCGAGCGGAAACACAGUGAGCUUGCUCCUGAGGUGUCGAGCGGCGGACGGGUGUGUAAUGCUUGGGAAACUGCCCAGUCGUGGGGGACAACCAUAAGAAACGAUGGCUAAUACCGCAUACGCACUACGGGGGAAAGAAGGGGACCUUCGGGCCUUUCGCGAUUGGAUGUGCCCAAGUGGGAUUAGCUAGUUGGUGAGGUAAGAGCUCACCAAGGCGACGAUCCCUAGCUGGUUUGAGAGGAUGAUC